CGUGUAGCCGGGUCGGCAAGUCAGAUGUGAAAUCUGGAGGCUCAACCUCCAAACUGCAUUUGAAACUGCUGAUCUUGAGUAUCGGAGAGGUAAUCGGAAUUCCUUGUGUAGCGGUGAAAUGCGUAGAUAUAAGGAAGAACACCAGUGGCGAAGGCGGAUUACUGGACGACAACUGACGGUGAGGCGCGAAAGCGUGGGGAGCAAACA
rnacentral:rRNA from 1 species